rnacentral:rRNA from 1 species
CCAAUAGCGUAUAUUAAGGUUGUUGCAGUUAAAAAGCUCGUAGUUGAAUUUCGGGACCAGUAUGUCGGUCGUGCUUAGGUACGUACUUGCAUUAUUGGUUUCUCCCUUCUGAAGAACCAUGAUGUCAUUAAUUUGAUGUCAUGGGAAAUCAGGACUGUUACUUUGAAAAAAUUAGAGUGUUUAAAGCAGGCUCGCGCUUGAAUACAUUAGCAUGGAAUAAUGAAAUAGGACGUUUGAUUCUAUUUUGUUGGUUUCUAGGAUCGACGUAAUGAUUAAUAGGGAUAGUUGGGGGCAUUAGUAUUCAAUUGUCAGAGGUGAAAUUCUUGGAUUUAUUGAAGACUAACUACUGCGAAAGCAUCUGCCAAGGAUGUUUUCAUUAAUCAAGAACGAAAGUUAGGGGAUCGAAGACGAUCAGAUACCGUCGUAGUCUUAACCAUAAACUAUGCCGACUAGGGAUCGGAUGAUGUUAAUUUUUUAAUGACUCAUUCGGCGCCUUACG